CCCCACCGCUCGCGGCUGCGAACGUCUUUUCUGAUGGGGUCCGCAGUUCUUACUGUGGGGCCUGUGUUGGUGGCGCCUGACUUCUCUGCCUGGCCCAGUUCUGUCCCCGGAGAGCUGCAAGGUGGAAGGUCUCCACGUAGACUGUACUGGGCCCCCUCCCUCUCCUCUCGAAGGCCUAGACUGGCCUGGCACUCCCGCGGGACUGCGGGGGGCGGGAACGUGGCCCUGCGCUCCAGAGCCCGCCUCAGUGCCUCCCACGUUGCUGAUGGCUACAGAGCCGCCGCCUACUAGGACCUCCAGGUGCUGAGGACCAGUGUUAGGCGGGGUCCCCCAUGUUGCUUGUAACUGACCUGGGCUUAAACGGUUUAUUGUCUAUUUCUCCAGCUAGAAUGUAAAGUCCCUGAGGACAGGACCUUGCCAUUAAAGCACUCACAGGGUGGGGCUUCUGCCUACUGGACUUACGAGAGGUGGUUCAGCCAUUCCUGAUAUUUGAGACCCCUCCUGCCCCAGGUGUGGAUGUCAUCUUUCAUUUCUCUGCCUUACCUGCUACCCUGGAAUGCAGCAAUUGCCUGGGCCCUUGGUGGCCUUCUCUACUGGCCUGUGAACCACCUGAAGGCACAAAUGGGGGCUUAGUCAUCUCCACAGCCCAACACUCAGUUCAGUGCUGGGUGCUCCAAGAAUGUGUGUUGAGUGAAUGAAUAAAUGAAGCUUCAACCUGUGCUCGUUACCCUCCACACACAGGAGCAUGCAUGAUGCAGCUUGAAGGACAAGCAAGAGAUCUUAUGGGACAAAUCAGUGUGGUUCAGCAAAUGUUCAUCGACAAGUGACACUGAACUGCCAUUCAGAAAGGCUGCACCUGUUUGCCUGCUGACCAGUAUUGGAGAGGGCCGAUUUCCCUGUGCUCUUAUCAAGGAUUUUAAUUAUUAAAAAUCUCCCUUGAUCUGA